rnacentral:rRNA from 1 species
UACGGGGGGUGCGAGCGUUGUCCGGAAUCACUGGGCGUAAAGCGCGUGUAGGCGGCCCGGUAAGUCCGCUGUGAAAGUCAAGGGCUCAACCCUUGGAUGCCGGUGGAUACUGUCGGGCUAGAGUGCGGGAGAGGCGAGUGGAAUUCCUGGUGUAGCGGUGAAAUGCGCAGAUAUCAGGAGGAACACCGAUUGCGAAGGCAGCUCGCUGGAAUGACUAACGCUGAGACGCGAAAGCGUGGGGAGCAAACAGG